UACGUAAGUGGCGAGCGUUAUCCGGAAUUACUGGGCGUAAAGCGUGCGCAGGCGGUUGUGCAAGACCGAUGUGAAAUCCCCGGGCUUAACCUGGGAAUGGCAUUGGUGACUGCACGGCUAGAGUGUGUCAGAGGGGGGUAGAAUUCCACGUGUAGCAGUGAAAUGCGUAGAGAUGUGGAGGAACACCGAUGGCGAAGGCAGCCCCCUGGGCUAACACUGACGCUCAUGCACGAAAGCGUGGGGAGCAAACAGG
rnacentral:rRNA from 1 species